rnacentral:rRNA from 1 species
UACGAAGGGUACAAGCGUUGUUCGGAAUUACUGGGCGUAAAGCGCGCGUAGGCGGACGAAUCAGUCGAUUGUGAAAUCCCUGGGCUUAACCUGGGAACUGCAGUCGAUACUGCUUGUCUUGAGUGCCUGAGAGGAUGGCGGAAUUCCCGGUGUAGUAGUGAAAUACGUAGAUAUCGGGAAGAACACCUGAGGCGAAGGCGGCUAUCUGGCGGUGCACUGACGCUGAGGCACGAAAGCGUGGGGAGCAAACAGG